rnacentral:lncRNA from 1 species
GGAAUGGUAACAAUAACCAUUAUUAUUAUCUUUACUCUUUAACUCAUUCGCUGAAAUCCUUUAGAAAUAAAAAGAUGAUUUUAAUGGAAAAACAUAAAUUAUUAUUUACAUGAUAAUUCUCACUCUAUAAUAUAGAUGUUGCACGUCAACCGUCGCGGGCACUUGUUACACCACCAGCUAAUAAUUUUUAUAUAAUUGGUGCUACAAAAGUCAAAACAACAAAAACGGUGUCUAUGCCCUUUAAUUCUUUUACCCUAGCUAGACUCAUCGUUUAACUCAAAUCUCCUGGACUCAAGGAAACUUUUGUUCUUGGAGUCACAAGAUUUGAUAUACUCUAGGAAAGUAGCAAAAUCAGUGUCUUUAUACCGCCUCGGAUUGGUCUCUGUAAUCAGCUUGGCCGCCGGUCUUACUGUCGUCGUGAACGGGAACUAAGUAAAGA